rnacentral:rRNA from 1 species
GAUGAACGCUGGCGGCGCGCCUAACACAUGCAAGUCGAACGAUUAAAGCACCUUCGGGUGUGUAUAAAGUGGCGAACGGCAGUGUAACACGUGCGCAAUCUGCCUUUCUUUUUGGGAUAGACACGGAAAACCGGGGAAAAUCCAGAACACCUCGACUCUUGCGCGUAGAAGUCUCGAAAAAGCCCCGGCGGAGGGGGAUGGGCGCGCGGCCUGUUAGCUUGUUGGUGGGGUAACGGCCUACCAAGGCAAUGAUGGGUAGCUGGGUUGAGAGACCGACCAGCCAGAUUGGGACUGAGACACGGCCCAGACUCCUACGGGAGGCAGCAGUGGGGAAUCUUGCACAAUGGGCGAAAGCCUGAUGCAGCGACGCCGCGUGCGGGAUGAAGGCCUUCGGGUUGUAAACCGCUUUCAGCAGGGACGAGGCGAAAGUGACGGUACCUGCAGAAGAAGCCCCGGCUAACUACGUG